rnacentral:misc_RNA from 1 species
CUGAAAGCGAGUCUGAUGACUCUGACUCUUACACUGACUCUGACUCUGAUGCUCCUGCAACCAAGGCUGUUGUUGGUUCAAAAAGGCCAUCUUCUGUUGCUCAAACAAAGGAAUCAAAAAAGGUGAAGGUAGCCACUCAAAAGGAAAGCAGCAGUUCUGAGAGCUCCAGCAAUACUUCAGAUGAUGAGGAAGAAAGUGAGGAUGAAAAACUCUCGAAAACCCCAAA